AGGAGCGUAGCUCAGUCUGGUAGAGCAAUGGUCUCCAAAACCAUCGGCCGCGGGUUCGAAUCCUGCCGCUCCUG
rnacentral:tRNA from 1 species